rnacentral:lncRNA from 1 species
AAGAGAGCCAUCGACAUAGCCUAGAAGAUCAUAGCCAAAUAGUAUAUUAGAGAAUUGAGCACGCCAUGAUGCGUAGUUACCACCGUUGGAUAAUUUGAAGGGGAUGAGGGUUGCUGCAUUUAUGGAGAUAAGGUUUGUAUGUGGGAAGAUACUAUGGUUCCCUGCGGGAACAGUAAUGGGAGCAUCAGAGGUAGAUGAUGAUGACAUAUGGAAGAUAUGAUCAGGGAGAAAGAAGUGUUGGUAUAGAUCAAUGUCACCUGAGGUGGUGGCAAAUAAGAUCUGUGAAAGAAUAAGGUCUUCGUUGAAGGAAAAGACCUAUGCAAGAUGGUGUAAAGCUGUAGAUUUCUAUGCAGCAAUUCUACAAGAGGGACUCUGGGCAGUGAUGCAGCCAGUGGCGUGAUCAGCUUUGUGCAAGACAACUGCAGAUCUAUGUGCAAUAGAUCAGCAGUGAGGAAUCUUGGCAACGAGGCAGCAGCAUGGAAAGUUACCGAAGGCUGC